GAAAAAAAAUUUUUUUUUGGCGAGUGGGGAGUGUUACCCUCAUUUCAUUUUCUCGGCGGAGUAGUGUAUGCCACGAUUUUGUUCGGGUAGUUUAGGUUUCCUAAAUCUAGCGGCCGAGUUCGAACAAACUACGUUUUUAAUAUGUUUGUGUAAUUUUUUGUCCGAAUGUUCUUUCUGGAGUUACGACCUUGCGGGAACAUAUUUUCAAUUCAUUAUUCUGGUAACAAGGAAGAGAGAAAUAUCUUUUUGGUGAUUAUAAAGAUAUCUUUUGAGGAUUUAAUAAAUCUCUUCAUUAAGUAAAUUCACAAUAUUUAGAAAGCUAAGAGAGACUAUUGGUUUUCAUUCUCUGGCUAAACUCGAAAAUCGAGGAUUUCAUUAUUGGAAUUUAUUGUUACCUCGCAUCAACCCCACACACCACCAAGGGGUUUUUAUUUUUUUUUAUUUUCUCUUUGAAAUAUUGGAAUACCACAUUACGUCAGUUCCAUGCGAUAAUGUUAUCUGGAGGGACGUUUAAUGAUCUAUUGGAGGAGUAACUGAUCCAGGAAAAUUUCACCUUCCUCAUUAUUUGUUUGGAUAAGUACCCCGCAGGGGAUCUAUAUAUGUGUACUCGUAUAUCGAUUUUAUAUUAUAAAAAAAAAAAUUAUUGAUGAUUAGUUAUUGUAGUUUUAGAGCAGGUAGUACAUAAGAUAGGUAGAUAAGUUAAGAUUAGGUUAGUAUAGGGUAUAGGUUAGAUAAUAGGCAUAGGGUAAUAAAUAAGAGAUUAGUAGAUAGGUAGGUUUAGAUAGGUUUAGGGUUGUAGUUAUUAACUUGAAUAUAUUCAAAAUUAGAAUUCAAA